rnacentral:rRNA from 1 species
AUUGAACGCUGGCGGCAGGCCUAACACAUGCAAGUCGAGCGGCAGCGGGAAAGUAGCUUGCUACUUUUGCCGGCGAGCGGCGGACGGGUGAGUAAUGCCUGGGGAUCUGCCCAGUCGAGGGGGAUAACUACUGGAAACGGUAGCUAAUACCGCAUACGCCCUACGGGGGAAAGCAGGGGACCUUCGGGCCUUGCGCGAUUGGAUGAACCCAGGUGGGAUUAGCUAGUUGGUGAGGUAACGGCUCACCAAGGCGACGAUCCCUAGCUGGUCUGAGAGGAUGAUCAGCCACACUGGAACUGAGACACGGUCCAGACUCCUACGGGAGGCAGCAGUGGGGAAUAUUGCACAAUGGGGGAAACCCUGAUGCAGCCAUGCCGCGUGUGUGAAGAAGGCCUUCGGGUUGUAAAGCACUUUCAGCGAGGAGGAAAGGUUGGUAGCUAAUAACUGCCAGCUGUGACGUUACUCGCAGAAGAAGCACCGGCUAACUCCGUGCCAGCAGCCGCAGUAAGAC